GGAAAGUAUGGCGGCCGCUUGAACGCCGCGCGGCGGAGGCCAUUAAGGCGUGGAGGGCCCGGGAAGGCGGCCUAGGGACGCAAGCAGGCUCGGCCACCUCUUUAGGCCACGGAGCCGCGCAGAUCCGGUUCCCGGGUGACCACUCUGUCGCCAUUGGGCGAGACCGACCUAGUCCUGACGACAACGGACAAAGGCCUUCAGGGGCCUGGAAGGGAUAUGAUAUUGAAGCACGUGACAAGUUGGUGAUUUCAGCAAUGGUUUCUCCUGUCUAUAGAAACUCUUCAGCAGAUGGCAAUUUUCCACCUUCCUGUAUAAAACCAGAAUCCUCUCACCUGGCAGAAAUCUUUCUCUCCAGAUGCUGCAAAGCCAGCACAGAUCAUCUUCUCUGUGAUCCCUCCUGGAUGGGCAGAAUAGUGAUCAAAAUGGAACACAAUUGCUACCAGAAGAGAACUGCUCCCCUGCAGUGGAGCAGUGAAGAGGCCUUUUACAUCUAAGACCAAAGGAGAGUCUGUGGCAGUCUGAGGAAGUGCUGGCCUGUGGUAGGAUCCACAGCACCACUUCUAAAAGCCCUGUCAGGUGGCUGCCCUUGGACUGCCAUGAGAAAGCGAUGGAGGAUGGAGAGAGCACUAUGUUCUGGGGCUCUGGGUCUUGUCAUUUUAAAAAAUGUGUGGUUUCUGCAUUCAACUGCUUGUUCCUGAAAGCUGUGUUCUCUCAGGCUUCUUUCAUUCUGCAGACGACAGGUUUGGUAUCUCCAGGCCCACAUUUUCCUAAUCUAGAUUUUAGUGUCACAGAGCCAAAUUAACUCUCCAAGGCCUCCCUCAUUUUUUCACUGUUGCCAAGGAAGUUAACAAGGUUGAACAGGCAAAGUGGGAGAUGAGUGAUUUAUUUUUGGUAUUCUUAAGUAGUACAGAGAAAAAUCAUGCCAACUGAAAAAAUGAAGAAAGAAUCCCCUGAUGAGUCUAUUCUCAAGGUCUAUUAAUAAAAUCUCGUAAAUGCAAAAA
rnacentral:lncRNA from 1 species